rnacentral:rRNA from 1 species
UUGAAUUGAAGAGUUUGAUCAUGGCUCAGAUUGAACGCUGGCGGCAGGCUUAACACAUGCAAGUCGGACGGUAGCAGGAGAAAGCUUGCUUUCUUGCUGACGAGUGGCGGACGGGUGAGUAAUGCUUGGGGAUCUGUCUUAUGGAGGGGGAUAACGACGGGAAACUGUCGCUAAUACCGCGUAGAGUCGGGAGACGAAAGUGCGGGACCUUAGGGCCGCAUGCCAUGAGAUGAGCCCAAGUGUGAUUAGGUAGUUGGUGGGGUAAAGGCCUACCAAGCCGACGAUCGCUAGCUGGUCUGAGAGGAUGGCCAGCCACACCGGGACUGAGACACGGCCCGGACUCCUACGGGAGGCAGCAGUGGGGAAUAUUGCGCAAUGGGGGCAACCCUGACGCAGCCAUGCCGCGUGAAUGAAGAAGGCCUUCGGGUUGUAAAGUUCUUUCGGUGAUGAGGAAGGUUGGUGUGUUAAUAGCAUGCCAACUUGACGUUAAAUACAGAAGAAGCACCGGCUAACUCCGUGCCAGCAGCCGCGGUAAUACGGGGGGUGCUAGCGUUAAUCGGAAUAACUGGGCGUAAAGGGCACGUAGGCGGACCUUUAAGUGAGGUGUGAAAUCCCCGGGCUUAACCUGGGAAUUGCAUUUCAUACUGGGGGUCUGGAGUACUUUAGGGAGGGGUAGAAUUCCACGUGUAGCGGUGAAAUGCGUAGAGAUGUGGAGGAAUACCGAAGGCGAAGGCAGCCCCUUGGGGAUGUACUGACGCUGAUGUGCGAAAGCGUGGGGAGCAAACAGGAUUAGAUACCCUGGUAGUCCACGCUGUAAACGGUGUCGAUUUGGGGAUUGGGGUUUAGCCCUGGUGCCCGAAGCUAACGUGAUAAAUCGACCGCCUGGGGAGUACGGCCGCAAGGUUAAAACUCAAAUGAAUUGACGGGGGCCCGCACAAGCGGUGGAGCAUGUGGUUUAAUUCGAUGCAACGCGAAGAACCUUACCUACUCUUGACAUCCGAAGAAGAACUCAGAGAUGGGUUUGUGCCUUAGGGAGCUUUGAGACAGGUGCUGCAUGGCUGUCGUCAGCUCGUGUUGUGAAAUGUUGGGUUAAGUCCCGCAACGAGCGCAACCCUUAUCCUUUGUUGCCAGCGAUUAGGUCGGGAACUCAAAGGAGACUGCCGGUGAUAAACCGGAGGAAGGUGGGGAUGACGUCAAGUCAUCAUGGCCCUUACGAGUAGGGCUACACACGUGCUACAAUGGCGUAUACAGAGGGUAACCAACCAGCGAUGGGGAGUGAAUNNNNNNNNNNNNNNNNNNNNNNNNNNNNNNNNNNNNNNNNNNNNNNNNNNAAUCAGAAUGUUGCGGUGAAUACGUUCCCGGGCCUUGUACACACCGCCCGUCACACCAUGGGAGUGGGUUGUACCAGAAGUGGAUAGCUGAACCGAGAGGGUGGCGUUUACCACGGUAUGAUUCAUGACUGGGGUGAAGUCGUAACAAGGUAACCGUAGGGGAACCUGCGGUUGGAUCACCUCCUUAC